GGACUACCGGGGUUUCUAAUCCUGUUUGCUCCCCUAGCUUUCGCAGCUGAGCGUCAGUAAUAGUCCAGGUACCUGCUUUCGCCAUUGGUGUUCCUCCCGAUCUCUGCACAUUUCACCGUUCCACCGGGAAUUCCAGUACCCUCUCCUAUACUCAAGCCUGGUAGUAUCUGUUGGCCUCUCCCAGUUAAGCCGGGAGCUUUCACAACAGACUUACCAAACCGCCUACCUGCCCUUUACGCCUAGUAAUUCCGAGUAACGCUUGCCACCUUCGUAUUACCGCGGCUGCUGGCAC
rnacentral:rRNA from 1 species